ACUGUUGGAGGUAUGCCCUAGAGGCAAUCAUAGAGAUGAUGAUAUUCCAUUUGUAUCCAUGAUUUGUAUAUUGUGUUCAUUGAAUAUCCAUUAAAGGCUACUUAAAUUGAUUUGCAAUUAUGUGAAUUGUAUGUGAAACUCUUUACUUGUAUGGUUAUUCUAAAGUUGUCCCUAGUCGGAGUUCAUGUGAGGACACACAUGAAUAUUAGACUAG
rnacentral:lncRNA from 1 species